AGAAAUAGCAAAAAGACCAAAAAAAAAAAAAAAAAAUUGAAAACUAUUAUCUAUAUAUUUAUAAAUCUUUCUUAUUCAUGUAAAUCAGGAGUUCUUUGAGGAUAGGAUUUGUUUAAUUGUUUGUUCCUCUCCAAGUGCUAGGCACAUAGCAGAGGCUCAAUAAAUAUUUGUUGGUUGAUUGGUUAAAAUCUGUAUUUUACCUGGGAGAGUAGAAAGCUAAGGGAUAUAUCCUCUAACACACAAAGUCAGAAUUCACUGAGUACCUGUUGCCUACCUUCACACAUGUUGUGUGUCAGGAAUUUAAUCCUUUGAAUGUGGUUUGAAGAACAAUUGCAGGGUAUACUGCUCCACUGCCAAGGUUCCAUUUGCCACUAUGACUAACUACUUAUGCUCCAAUCUGUUUCUCUUCUGUUCCAGUCAUCUACCACCCUGGCACCACUGUGCAGUAUUUUUUGCAUCUACUGAAGACAGUAUGUUAUAUAUAACAAGUGCCUUAAAACAAGCUGCUGUUAACAGUGGACACUUUAAAUGGAAAUAUUUUAUAACCACUUUGGGGACAUCAUUCAAUGUAUAAAAAGGUUAAUUUCUAUUUAUGGGAAAAUUAUGAAAGUCUAAAUUAGUUAAAAUGGAUAAGUAAUAUAGUCAACUAAUUCAUAUAGAUUGACCUAUUUUUGUUUGGCUAUUAUAACAUGAUACAAUAAUAGAUGUAAGAAAUCUAAGGAUUAUCAGUUGUUCAAAAUGACACAUUUGUGAGGAGAUACUAUUUAUAACUAAAAUAUAUAUAUUUUUUCUUUCUGAAAAGCCACCAAAUAAUUUUAUGCUGAUUAGUACAUAGCAAAAUAUACUUGGAAUGAGCUUCAAAAACAAAUCUAACUCUAAGUUUUGCCAAAAUUAAUAGCAAAUUGUCAUUAUGAAAAGGAACAGCUCUUUAUUUUGAGAAGAUAGUAAAUUGCGUUUUGACUACACAAUUUCUACAUUUUCCCCCAAUGGGGCCAUACAAUCACUCAGGAUAUGAAUAUAUCAUCAUUUGCCUGAAGGGAUGCCCUGGGCCCUCAAGCAAGGUAGCAGCCCUGGUAUUUGGACUGGAUGUCAUGAGCCUGUGAUCAUCUUUUCUUUUUUUCUUUUAUUUCCAAGCCCACACCUGUGGCAUAUAGAAGUUCCUGGGCUAUGGUUCAAACUGGAGCCAUAACUAUCACCUGCACCAUAGCAACAGCAAUGGCAAUGCUGGAUCCAAGCUCAUUUGUGACCUAUGCCACAGCUUAAGGCAACACCAGAUCCUCAACCCACUGAGCAAGGCCAGGGAUUGAACCCACAUCCUCAUGGACGCUAUGUCACGUUCUUAACCUGCUGAGCCACAAUGGGAACUCCAUAUGAUUCUGUCUUUUAAAUUAUUUCUUGACUCUUUACUGAUUCCUUGCAAAGAUGACGAUGUUUAUUGCUAUUGAAUACCCAAGGGGGAAAAUUGCAACAUAUGAGGAUAUCUCCUACAGCCUUCUGGACAUAAUGCAGAAUAACUGGUGCUUCCAUAAUGGAGUACAUGUGAUAAAUUGUAGAUAUUUCCUGAUACUCCUAAGCAAUGCCAGUGGAACAGAGAUUUACAGCUUCCUUAAAAAGUUUUAGGCUACUUCAGUUAUUUUAGGAAUCAAAUAAAUCCCUAUAGAACAGGAAAGAAAAAGGAAAUUAUCUUUUUACAUGGUCUCUGUUGAUCUGUAUAUUUCAGCCCUCAGAUAAGCACAGACAUAGUUGAAGAUAUAGAAAAGAGUCUACAUCCACCCAAGAACAGAUUUCAGAUCUAAGAUAAUUCAAUUCCAUAAUUCACAUAAACCUCCAAGAAGUUGGAACUAAUUUCCAUAUAUGAAUUAGAGAAUCAGCAACAUUCAGAACCCAUUCUUUGCCUUUCCACUUUCACUCUGGAACUUCUGGAGUUAUCAGGUGGUAAAACAAUAAGCACACAGCAGAGGCAAAUAGGUUAGUCCUAUAGGUCAAAUGAUGUGGAUAGAAUGCUUAUCAAUUUAUUAUUUAUGACAAAGCCAAUAUUCUAGAAAGUAAACUGGGGGGGCAGUAUCAAGAUAGUGGAGGAAUAAGACAUUGCACUCAUGUUCUCCCACAAACACAUCACGAAAAACCAUCUACAUGUAGAACAACAGGCACAGAAUGCUGGCAAAAGACCUUAAACUUCCAAAGAGGGUGAGGUCUCCACAUAGCUAGGUAGAACAAAA
ensembl:lncRNA